rnacentral:rRNA from 1 species
GCGAAAGGGAUUAGAUACCCCUGUAGUCCUGGCCGUAAACGAUGAACACUAGGUGUCGGGGGAAUCGACCCCCUCGGUGUCGUAGCCAACGCGUUAAGUGUUCCGCCUGGGGAGUACGCACGCAAGUGUGAAACUCAAAGGAAUUGACGGGGGCCCGCACAAGCGGUGGAGUAUGUGGUUUAAUUCGAUGCAACGCGAAGAACCUUACCAGGGUUUGACAUCCUGCGAAUCUCUUGGAAACAGGAGAGUGCCUUCGGGAACGCAGUGACAGGUGGUGCAUGGCUGUCGUCAGCUCGUGUCGUGAGAUGUUGGGUUAAGUCCCGCAACGAGCGCAACCCACGUCUUUAGUUGCCAGCAUUUAGUUGGGCACUCUAGAGAGACUGCCGGUGAUAAACCGGAGGAAGGUGUGGAUGACGUCAAGUCAUCAUGCCCCUUACAUCCUGGGCUACACACGUACUACAAUGCUACGGACAAAGGGCAGCAAGUUCGCGAGGACAAGCAAAUCCCAUAAACCGUGGCUCAGUUCAGAUCGUAGGCUGCAACUCGCCUACGUGAAGGCGGAAUCGCUAGUAAUCGCAGGUCAGCAUACUGCGGUGAAUACGUUCCCGGGCCUUGUACACACCGCCCGUCACACCAUGGAAGUUGGCCACGCCCGAAGCCGUUACUCCAACCCUUGUGGAGGAGGACGUCGAAGGUGGGGCUGAUGACUGGGGUGAAGUCGUAACAAGGUAUCCGUACCGGAAGGUGCGGAUG